GCUUGUUUCGUCACUGUUUACACGUUUAUUUGAAUAUUAUUUUUUUAAAUAUUUAAUAUUACAUUAGAGUUUAGUUUUAAAAGUAACUAUAUUAUAGUUUUUAGUUAAUUUCAUUAAAAACGUGUAUAAAAGCAAUAACUUCGGUAGCAGCUCUUUUUUAAAUCGUAUAGCACUCCCCCCCCCCCCUCCUUAAGUCUGAAGUAAGGAGGGGGAGGGUUGUGAAGCCGCGCAGCUGCUGCACACGGCGGAGAUGGCGCAACAGAUACUUCUGACGCUAUUAGAAGGUACUGGUGCCUGCUUCUUCGGCUCCGGGUGGAUUGAAAUAGAAUUUUAACUUAAUUCGACAGACUUUUAAGAUAGUAUAAUACGCGCAAUCUAAAAAGAUUGGUUUGAAAUUAGACUGUCCAAGAUGGUACUAAUUUCUGAACGGCCAACCCAGACGUGCGCGUAUUUAAUUUAAGUUAAAUUUAAGGCAAGAAAUUUAGAAAUGUCAUUGCUUUCUUCGAUAAUAUUUGCACAAGUAUAGACAAAAUAAAAAAAUAAAAAUGU